UACGGAGGGGGCUAGCGUUGUUCGGAAUUACUGGGCGUAAAGCGCGCGCAGGCGGAUGUUCAAGUCGGGGGUGAAAUCCCGGGGCUCAACCCCGGAACUGCCUCCGAUACUGGACGUCUGGAGGACGGGAGAGGCGAGUGGAAUGCCGAGUGUAGAGGUGAAAUUCGUAGAUAUUCGGCGGAACACCCGUGGCGAAGGCGGCUCGCUGGUCCGUUUCUGACGCUGAGGCGCGAAAGCGUGGGGAGCAAACAGGAUUAGAAACCCCAGUAGUCC
rnacentral:rRNA from 1 species